rnacentral:rRNA from 1 species
GAGUUUGAUCCUGGCUCAGAACGAACGCUGGCGGCGUGGAUAAGACAUGCAAGUCGAACGAGAGAAUUGCUAGCUUGCUAAUAAUUCUCUAGUGGCGCACGGGUGAGUAACACGUGAGUAACCUGCCCCCGAGAGCGGGAUAGCCCUGGGAAACUGGGAUUAAUACCGCAUAGUAUCGAAAGAUUAAAGCAGCAAUGCGCUUGGGGAUGGGCUCGCGGCCUAUUAGUUAGUUGGUGAGGUAACGGCUCACCAAGGCGAUGACGGGUAGCCGGUCUGAGAGGAUGUCCGGCCACACUGGAACUGAGACACGGUCCAGACACCUACGGGUGGCAGCAGUCGAGAAUCAUUCACAAUGGGGGAAACCCUGAUGGUGCGACGCCGCGUGGGGGAAUGAAGGUCUUCGGAUUGUAAACCCCUGUCAUGUGGGAGCAAAUUAAAAAGAUAGUACCACAAGAGGAAGAGACGGCUAACUCUGUGCCAGCAGCCGCGGUAAUACAGAGGUCU